GACAGACAUACAAACAAUCGACAGAGGCAGCGAAAAACAGACUGCAAAACGAACUAACUUGUAAAAUUGAAGAUAGCUAGCUAUAUUGAUGCAGACUUGGUUCACUGACCUUUAAAUCCAUGGAUCUUGCUACGUCACCGGUUAACGGAGCACUUGACGGCAAUGCUAACGGAAGUAUGAAAGUGGUGGACUACUAUAAUUUUAGGUAUGAAAGUGAAACGAAAAAUAAGUAUAACCAAAGUGCCAUUUUUGAGAAAUUUAAGGUAGUAAGAUGAAAAUUAUUUUAUUUUUCAAAUUACGUUUUCCAGUUUGGGGAGAAAGGAAAAUGAAAGAAGGAAAGCAAAGCAUUUUAAUGGAUACCCAAAACCCCACUUUUGAUAAACCCUAGAGAGAGAAGGAAGGAACCAUGAGACGAACUCUGCUGAGCAAUCUCUCUCUCUACACUCGCAAUCGCCUUCUCUCUCCUCAAACAUUCAACCCAAAUCCUACCCCCUCACACGUCCCACUCGCCCGUUCGACUCAGUCCCUGCUCAGCCGGUUCUUCUCCUCGGAGGGCGACUCCUCCGCCGAAAGCCCCAAUCCGGCUGCUGAUUCGAGCUUGAUCCCAACCAAAAAGAAAGAUGCUUCCGUCGAAGUUAAGGACGUCAAUAACAAAGAGCUGAAGGAGCGGAUAGAUAAAUAUUUUAAGGGUGACGAGGAGGCGCUUCCGGCCAUACUCGAAGCGAUUCUGCAGAGGAGAUUGGCUGGGAAGCAUGAGGAAACGGAUGAUGAGCUGAUGGAUGAAUUGCAAAUGCAGCCGUUGGAUGAUGUUAAGGACCAAGAGUUUGAAUCGGAUUUUGAGGAAUUGCAUGACACGGAUGAAGAGAUUGAUGACUUGUAUAACGCAAAGGAUAUAGUCAUGAAGAGGAUGUCAAACGAUGAGUACUUCAACAUGGAUCCCAAGAAGUGGGAUGAUAUUGUUGAGGAUGCAAUUAAGCACGGGAUCAUGAAAAAUACGAAGGAGUGUGAGGAGAUUCUCGAGGAUAUGCUUAGCUGGGAUAAGCUCCUACCAGAUGACAUGAAAAGGAAGGUAGAAGAGAAGUUCAAUGACUUAGGGGAUAAGUGUGAAAGAGGGGAGCUUCAACCUGAAGAAGCUUAUGAGUUGUUCAAGGAGUUUGAGGAUGAGAUUGUCAUGGACUAUUUGCAGAAGAUGGAAGCCAACGGCCCCCCACAAUUUGAUGAGGCUGAUGUGUAUGACAAGAAGGAUCUAGCUGACCCACCAGGCGAAGGGCCAAUCCUUAGGUGGCAGACACGGGUAGUCUUUGCUCCUGGUGGUGAUUCCUGGCAUCCCAAGAAUAGAAAAGUGAAACUGUCUGUUACAGUGAAAGAACUCGGGCUUUCAAAGCAUCAAUUCCGUCGGCUCAGAGACUUGGUUGGAAAGCGGUACCAUCCAGGGAAAGAUGAGCUUACAAUUACUAGUGAGAGAUUUGAACACCGAGAAGAAAAUAGAAAGGACUGCCUCAGGACACUUCUUUCCCUCAUUGAGGAAGCUGGGAAAGCAAACAAACUGGCUGAGGAUGCUCGACUUUCGUAUGUCAAGAAGAGAUUAAGAGCAAAUCCUGCAUUCAUGGAGAGGCUGCAGAACAAGACCAUGAAAUUGCAAGGAAAGAGCGCAGUACCUGCUUGAGAUCUUGAUUUCCAGCAGCUCAUAUAAGUUUCUUGGUCUGGGAUGACAUUUUCUUGACGUUCAGUGUUUUGAUUGGUUGACCCCCGCUCUAAGAUUAUUAUUUUGCUAUAGAGUCUAUACUCCCAAAUGGAUAUUUGGUGCACGGAUCGGUACAUUUUGCUAGUUACUAAUGUUGGAAGCCAAUUGCUUUGCCUUCAAGUCCUUGAAAUGUUCACAUGGAUGUAUAACUUGUUAAGGACAACAGAUUAUCCUCGAUUUGGAAUCGGAUUCUUUCAGAGCGAACGGUUUCUGCAUCGAUGCAUAACGAUAGGUUUGAGAUAAGAUUCUGCUACUUUAUGAACAACAAUAUCCAUCGUUAAAACUCGAAAAAGUUUAAGGGAACCUGAUCCAUCAUAGGGUUGAGAAGGUUUCUGUCUUUCUUUUUCCACCCUUCCCUCCCCGUCCUGCAACGGCGCGCAGUUCCCCCUUUUGCUUUGCCUUUCGAUAUUCCAAGGCAGUUGGUCCUUGACGAAUCAAGCACCCCGUAAGGCGUCCGGAGUAUAUUUCAAGUGCUCUGCUGAGAUGAUAAAAAGUGAAAAGCUUGCACAGAAAGUAAAACAGAAAGGAGGAAAAAGGAAGAAAAAGAAGACACUGAACAGCAACUUGAUAGAACCUUACAUAAGGAGUAACAGAGCAAAAAGAAAGCUACGUUAAACGAAUCCUUCGAUGUCAAACGACGCAAGAUGAACACUGCAAGGCCUUCGGAUUCUCAAUCUGUUUCUAGUUACACUUCUUCUCAUGGACGAAAGGCGAAAUGGAGCGAAAAAGCCACGCAGUUUCUCUGCAAUGCCUGUUUACUGUGCAUUUGUUGCCCUUUAACCGUUGUCUGGUGUUGCAUCAAGGUACCGUGCAAGGUUGGAUCGCACGCGGCGCAGCACGUAAGGCGCUGCGCUUGUGGAUCAGCUGGGAAGAGAGUGUACGCAUCUUACUCUUCGUUUUCGGACAUUGAUUUGGAUAGUCUGCCCGGUAAGGCACAUAGUGGAACUACAUGCUCUAAAACUCGUGGCAACUCAAAAAGUCGGCACUGUAGCAUACAAAACGUUGAUUAAAGUUUUAAAAUUUGUUUAGCUUUAUAUUAAAACAUUUAAAUGCAGUUGUUUGCCUUAGGUCUUAUUGUAUCAGUAAUUUAAAGUUAUAUUA